rnacentral:rRNA from 1 species
UACGUAGGGGGCUAGCGUUGUCCGGAAUCAUUGGGCGUAAAGCGCGUGUAGGCGGUUCGGUAAGUCCGCUGUGAAAGUCGGGGGCUCAACCCUCGGAUGCCGGUGGAUACUGUCGGACUAGAGUACGGAAGAGGCGAGUGGAAUUCCUGGUGUAGCGGUGAAAUGCGCAGAUAUCAGGAGGGACACCGAUUGCGAAGGCAGCUCGCUGGGACGUUACUGACGCUGAGACGCGAAAGCGUGGGGAGCAAACAGG